rnacentral:rRNA from 1 species
UACAGAGGGGGCAAGCGUUGUUCGGAAUUACUGGGCGUAAAGCGUGCGCAGGCGGUGAUGUAAGACAGUUGUGAAAUCCCCGGGCUCAACCUGGGAACUGCAUCUGUGACUGCAUUGCUGGAGUGCGGCAGAGGGGGAUGGAAUUCCGCGUGUAGCAGUGAAAUGCGUAGAUAUGCGGAGGAACACCGAUGGCGAAGGCAGCCCCCUGGGCUAGCACUGACGCUCAGGCACGAAAGCGUGGGGAGCAAACAGG